rnacentral:rRNA from 1 species
AACGAACGCUGGCGGCAGGCCUAACACAUGCAAGUCGAACGGGCUCUUCGGAGCUAGUGGCAGACGGGUGAGUAACACGUGGGAACCUACCUCGUUGUACGGAACAACUCAGGGAAACUUGAGCUAAUACCGUAUACGUCCGAGAGGAGAAAGAUUUAUCGCAAUGGGACGGGCCCGCGUCGGAUUAGCUAGUUGGUGGGGUAACGUCCUACCAAGGCGACGAUCCGUAGCUGGUCUGAGAGGAUGAUCAGCCACACUGGGACUGAGACGCGGCCCAGACUCCUACGGGAGGCAGCAGUGGGGAAUAUUGGACAAUGGGCGCAAGCCUGAUCCAGCCAUGCCGCGUGAGUGACGAAGGCCUUAGGGUUGUAAAGCUCUUUUGGCGGGGAAGAUAAUGACGGUACCCGCAGAAUAAGCUCCGGCUAACUUCGUGCCAGCAGCCGCAGUAACAC